UCCAGUUUCUCACUAACACCCAGAGGUAGCGAAUGAUUUCUCAAUAAUGCAGUGUUCAGCUGCUCAAUUGCUCCCAAGCUACAUAGCUCAUCAUGUUUUUACACUGCUCUUUAUCUGCAGCCAUUUCAAUUCCCAGCAACAGCGAGAACAGAAAGAAGCAGCACUCAUUUCAGAAAGCAAGCCUAGAAAAAACCAUGCAGAAGCUCCAUGAAGGGACAGAAUCCAAAGGAUGCUACACUAUAAGACUGCUCUCUCCUAGGUGACAGCGUCAGCACUGUGCUGAUCCCUGUGCUGCGUAAGCUCAGCUGUUUGUGUGGCAGUACAGCAAAAUAAACAAAGGAAUUGGUCUGUCUGAAAAAUUAUCAAAGGAAUAGGCAGAAUGUGGGCAGAAACAUGUGGCUGAAACUGGUGAUGUGGGACAAAUGCUGCUUGAGAAAGUGAUACAGACUGCCAAACCAAGAGCUGGCUUCUGAAGAAAACUGGAGCUUUUCUCUAAGCCAGAAGUGUGUUGGCUUGUUAAAGACAAGCUAUCUUUAGCUGCAAUUAGAGCUGAUUAUCUCAGCUCUCCCAAAAUGGUCACUCUAGAGCAGAGACUGGCUGCCUGAUAGUCAUGUGGAGGCUUGUGGCUCUCAGGUCCAGACUCAAGAGGAGCUCUUGGGGACCACCCUGUCUCCAGAAGCACACUGUGGCUAGACUGCAUGGGGAUUAAUAAGCAAGCUUAUCUAACAGCUGGGGACCAAAUCUGCUUGGCUGAAAGCCAGGAUAGAUGACAACAGAGAAAAAUAAAUUUCUUUCUGAACUGCA